ACAAUGUAAAACGGCUCGCCGAGGUGCGUUUCUGGCGCGCCCAUAAAUUUCCAAAGAAAGCCUACUUGUUUGGCGAAUUCCAGUUGUACUUCUACAGACUGACUGGCUGGUUGCUGGAGGUGCGUGCGGACACAGCGAACUCGUACUUCUUCCCCUGUACAUGGGGGCAUGCUGCAGCCUUGUUUUCUCACGUGAGAUCGGCACCACCACAGUUUGAAAGUCGACGAAAUUCGAGGUUUUAGCCGGCCGGUCUCUGAAUAACAGCGGACGCAGUGACACGAAUUCAUCUAUAU